AAUAGUCAAACAAAUUAGCAAUGGGGCCACCAAGAGAGUACAUUCCACCCUGAUUCAGACAUAUCUCAGUUUAUCAGUUUUCUGUCAAUCAUUAAAAUAAGAAAGAUGAAACAUGCAAUUACAUACAAGGAGACAGAAUUCCUAAUUCUUUCAUCCUAGCUGAAGCAGAAGAGUUUUAAUUGCUUGGAAAAAUAAGAUUUUUGUUUU
rfam:Microcebus murinus cont1.134892, whole genome shotgun sequence.